GACGAACGCUGGCGGCGUGCCUAAUACAUGCAAGUCGAACGCUGAAGAGAGGAGCUUGCUCUUCUUGGAUGAGUUGCGAACGGGUGAGUAACGCGUAGGUAACCUGCCUUGUAGCGGGGGAUAACUAUUGGAAACGAUAGCUAAUACCGCAUAACAAUGGAUGACACAUGUCAUUUAUUUGAAAGGGGCAAUUGCUCCACUACAAGAUGGACCUGCGUUGUAUUAGCUAGUAGGUGAGGUAAUGGCUCACCUAGGCGACGAUACAUAGCCGACCUGAGAGGGUGAUCGGCCACACUGGGACUGAGACACGGCCCAGACUCCUACGGGAGGCAGCAGUAGGGAAUCUUCGGAAAUGGGGGCAACCCUGACCGAGCAACGCCGCGUGAGGGAAGAAGGUUUUCGGAUCGUAAAGCUCUGUUGUAAGUCAAGAACGGGUGUGAGAGUGGAAAGUUCACACUGUGACGGUAGCUUAACAGAAAGGGACGGCUAACUACGUG
rnacentral:rRNA from 1 species